rnacentral:rRNA from 1 species
UAAGGAAUAUUGCGCAAUGGGCGACAGCCUGACGCAGCGACGCCGCGUGGGGGAUGAAGGCCUUCGGGUCGUAAACUCCUGUCGACCGGGACGAACGCUAUUGGGCCCAAUACGCCCGAUAGUCGACUGUACCGGUGGAGGAAGCCACGGCUAACUCUGUGCCAGCAGCCGCGGUAAUACAGAGGUGGCAAGCGUUGUUCGGAAUUACUGGGCGUAAAGGGCGCGUAGGCGGUCCUGUCAGUCCCUUGUGAAAUCCCCCGGCUCAACUGGGGAACUGCAAGGGAUACAGCAGGGCUUGAGUUCGGGAGAGGGAAGCGGAAUUCCGGGGUGUAGCGGUGAAAUGCGUAGAUAUCCGGAGGAACACCGGUGGCGAAGGCGGCUUCCUGGACCGAUACUGACGCUGAGGCGCGAAAGCUAGGGGAGCAAACGGGAUUAGAUACCCCAGUAGUCCCUGAGCGGGCUGGCAAGGCGCAU